rnacentral:rRNA from 1 species
GAUGAACGCUGGCGGCGUGCCUAAUACAUGCAAGUCGAGCGAACAGACGAGGCGCUUGCUCCUCUGACGUUAGCGGCGGACGGGAGAGUAACACGUGGAUCACCUACCUAUCAGACUGGGAUCACUUCGGGAAACCGGCGCUAAUACCGGAGAAUAUAUUGCACCGCGUGGUUCAAUAGUGAAAGACGGUUUUGCUGUCACUUAUCGAUGGAUACGCGCCGCAUGAGCUGGUUGGUAAGGUAACGGCUUAUCAAGGCGACGAUGCGUAGCCGAGCGGAGAGGGUGAUCGGCCACACGGGAACUGGGACACGGUCCAUGCUCCUACGGGAGGCAGCAGUAGGGAAUCUUCCGCAAUGGGCGAAAGCCUGACGGAGCAACGCCGCGUGAGAGAUGAAGGUCUUCGGAUCGUAAAACUCUGUUAUUAGGGAAGAACAAAUGUGUAAGUAACUAUGCACGUCUUGACGGUACCUAAUCAGAAAGCCACGGCUAACUACGUG